rnacentral:rRNA from 1 species
GGUUACCGCUAUCGGUGUUCGCCUAAGCCAUGCGAGUCAUAUGUUCGUAAGAACAUGGCGUACUGCUCAGUAACACGUGGAUAACCUGCCCUUGGGUCCGGCAUAACCCCGGGAAACUGGGGAUAAUUCCGGAUAACGCACAUAUGCUGGAAUGCUUUAUGCGUAAAAUGGAUUCGUCUGCCCAAGGAUGGGUCUGCGGCCUAUCAGGUAGUAGUGGGUGUAAUGUACCUACUAGCCUACGACGGGUACGGGUUGUGAGAGCAAGAGCCCGGAGAUGGAUUCUGAGACAUGAAUCCAGGCCCUACGGGGCGCAGCAGGCGCGAAAACUUUACAAUGCGGGAAACCGUGAUAAGGGGACACCGAGUGCCAGCAUCAUAUGCUGGCUGUCCGGGUGUGUAAAAUACACCUGUUAGCAAGGGCCGGGCAAGACCGGUGCCAGCCGCCGCGGUAACACCGGCGGCCCGAGUGGUGAUCGUGAUUAUUGGGUCUAAAGGGUCCGUAGCCGGUUUGGUCAGUCCUCCGGGAAAUCUGACGGCUUAACCGUUAGGCUUUCGGGGGAUACUGCCAGACUUGGAACCGGGAGAGGUAAGAGGUACUACAGGGGUAGGAGUGAAAUCUUGUAAUCCCUGUGGGACCACCUGUGGCGAAGGCGUCUUACCAGAACGGGUUCGACGGUGAGGGACGAAAGCUGGGGGCACGAACCGGAUUAGAUACCCGGGUAGUCCCAGCCGUAAACGAUGCUCGCUAGGUGUCAGGCAUGGCGCGACCGUGUCUGGUGCCGCAGGGAAGCCGUGAAGCGAGCCACCUGGGAAGUACGGCCGCAAGGCUGAAACUUAA